CGUGAACAUAGCAAUUACACGUGGAGCAAUCAAAUAACUUCAACAGCCAAUACAAAAAUAAUUGACAGUCACGAAAGCUCUGUUGCUGCUGUCUGUGUUUGGGAUUUUUAGCUAUAAUACAGAAAUGGAUUGCAUUUUUCAAUAUUCAUCUCCGACAGAACCAAGAGUGGACUAUAACAACAUUACAAUCUGAUCUUUUAUAAUUUUUCAAAAAAAGCAAUGUGUGUGUGUCAGGGUGUUUCAUCUGUGUAUAUAUAUUUGUCAGUGUGCUUCCGUGUCUGCAGACACAUCUAUGUGUGUCAGGGGUUGUGUUUUUAUGUCAGUGUGUAUCUGUGCCAUGGUGUGGGCAUGUAUCAAUGUUUGUGUAUGUCAGAGUGCAUGUGUGUCUAUGUGUGUGUAUGUGAGUAUCUAUAUGUGUAUGUCGGUGUUUUUACAUGCAGCUAUGUGUUAUUGUGCAUGAAUAUCUGUGUAAGUAUGUAUGUAUGAGGUAGUGUAUGUGCAUACAUCCAAGCAGUCAAACACCAGCACAACAUACAAGCACACUCCUGCAAUCGAACACAAAUAUUACAUACAAACAAACCCCUGUAUUCAAAGUAAAAAAAAAAAUACAAACACACACCUUCACUCAAACACAAAUACUUCACACAAAUAUUCAUCCGCAUUUAAAAGUGAACAUUACAUUCAGACACACCCCUGCAAUCAAACAUCACAUAAAAACACCCCCCUGUAUUAAAACACACUAACUAUAUACAAGCACCCCUUCAAACACCAACACUGUACAUUACUCUAUAGUGCCAGUAAAUGCCGCAGCGCUGUACAGAUAUACAACUUAGAAAUUUUGACUUGGACUGCCUUGGAAAAAUACUGAAAUAUUAAAGGCAUGUUGAACCUAAAAAGUUUGGGAACCACUGGUUUAUAUAGCAGCCAAUGAUAUAAAAGCAGAAUGUAUGGUACCAUAAAAUGUUU